UUCAGGACCAGGGUUGGGAACCACUGCUCUACAGCAUGCAGAUGGAGUCUCUGUAGGAUGUAGAUGGAGUCUCUGUAGGAUAUAGAUGGAUCCUCUGCAGGAUGUAGAUGGAGCCUCUGCAGGAUGUAGAUGGAGCCUCUGCAGGAUGUAGAUGGAGCCUCUGCAGGAUGUAGAUGGAGCCUCUGCAGGAUGUAGAUGGAGCCUCUGCAGGAUGUAGAUGGAGCCUCUGUAGGAUGUAGAUGGAGCCUCUGCAGGACGUAGGUGGAGCCUCUGCAGGACGUAGAUGGAGCCUCUGCAGGACGUAGAUGGAGCCUCUGCAGGAUGUAGAUGGAGCCUCUGCAGGAUGUAGAUGGAGCCUCUGCAGGAUGUA